rnacentral:rRNA from 1 species
AGCAGUCGCCGCGGUAAUACGUAGGUGGCAAGCGUUGCCCGGAAUUAUUGGGCGUAAAGGGCUCGCAGGCGGUUUCUUAAGUCUGAUGUGAAAGCCCCCGGCUCAACCGGGGAGGGUCAUUGGAAACUGGGAAACUUGAGUGCAGAAGAGGAGAGUGGAAUUCCACGUGUAGCGGUGAAAUGCGUAGAGAUGUGGGGGAACACCAGUGGCGAAGGCGACUCUCUGGUCUGUAACUGACACUGAGGAGCGAAAGCGUGGGGAGCGAACAGGAUUAGAUACCCCUGUAGUCCCUGUCUCUUAUAA